GACAUACUCCCUCCGAUCCAUAUUACUUGUCUCAAAUGUGCCCAAAUAUGGAUGUAUCUAAAAAAAACCGUCUAGAUACAUGUAAUAUUUCGACAAGUAAUAUGGAUCGGAGGGAGUAUAUA
rfam:Brachypodium distachyon strain Bd21 chromosome 2, whole genome shotgun sequence.